rnacentral:rRNA from 1 species
AGAUUGAACGCUGGCGGCAGGCCUAACACAUGCAAGUCGAGCGGCAGCACGGGUACUUGUACCUGGUGGCGAGCGGCGGACGGGUGAGUAAUGCCUAGGAAUCUGCCUGGUAGUGGGGGAUAACGCUCGGAAACGGACGCUAAUACCGCAUACGUCCUACGGGAGAAAGCAGGGGACCUUCGGGCCUUGCGCUAUCAGAUGAGCCUAGGUCGGAUUAGCUAGUUGGUGAGGUAAUGGCUCACCAAGGCGACGAUCCGUAACUGGUCUGAGAGGAUGAUCAGUCACACUGGAACUGAGACACGGUCCAGACUCCUACGGGAGGCAGCAGUGGGGAAUAUUGGACAAUGGGCGAAAGCCUGAUCCAGCCAAUGCCGCGUGUGUGAAGAAGGUCUUCGGAUUGUAAAGCACUUUAAGUUGGAGGAAGGCAGUUACCUAAUACGUAUCUGUUUUGACGUUACGACAGAAUAAGCACGGCUAAACUCUGUG